UACGUAGGGGCCAAGCGUUGUUCGGAUUUAUUGGGCGUAAAGGGCGCGUAGGCGGUUUGCUAAGUUGGAUGUGAAAACUCUGGGCUUAACCCAGAGCCUGCAUCCAAAACUGGCAAACUUGAGUACUGGAGGGGAAAGCGGAAUUCCUGGUGUAGCGGUGAAAUGCGUAGAUAUCAGGAGGAACACCGGUGGCGAAGGCGGCUUUCUGGACAGUAACUGACGCUGAGGCGCGAAAGCUAGGGGAGCAAACAGG
rnacentral:rRNA from 1 species